CAUCACGACGGAAUCCUCCAUAACCCUAAUAUCCCUGUAAAGACUGCACACCAAUUCAUCACACCUCCGUCCACUGCCAUACACCUCCGUCCACCGCCAUGAGUUUUAUCAAUUGUGUACUUCGAUCACGAUUCAGUUCUGGUGAUCUACGCAGCCACCAUCACACUUUGCCGUAAACCUUUGUUCGAUGGAGCUUUCGGUCGUACCGUAACUACCAUUGCGCCAUCAGUUUAGGUGUGCUCUGUGCUGAUAAACAUAAUGCCACAGGAAAUUAGUUUGAAUUCUGUGAUAUUCAACACACCUAGCAAGAAUUUCAACGACUUAAAGCUCUAAAUUCAUUCACUAAGAAUGACACUGAAGAGUUCAUUGAUGAUCGUGAAUUAGCUCAACAGAAAGCUGAAGCAGCAGGAGUUUGGAUUGUUGAAGAAGAACCCUUGAUAUAACAUCCAGUGGGCGGUGGUCAAGCCUAUCCGUGAGCCACAUGUAGCUGUCCAGAAAGUUGUUUAGGGUAAUCCUAAUCCUAGAAAUAUUUGUUGAAGCCAAAUCUUACACUUAUCUAUACACUGAUGAAGAAAAUGAUACGAUUGUGCUAAUGGAGUAA